rnacentral:rRNA from 1 species
CCUGCGGAAGGAUCAUUAAUGAAUUCACUAUGGAGUUGUUGCUGGCCUCUAGGGGCAUGUGCACGCUUCACUAGUCUUUCAACCACCUGUGAACUUUUGAUAGAUCUGUGAAGUCGUCUCUCAAGUCGUCAGACUUGGUUGCUGGGAUUUAAACGUCUCGGUGUGACUACGCAGUCUAUUUACUUACACACCCCAAAUGUAUGUCUACGAAUGUCAUUUAAUGGGCCUUGUGCCUAUAAACCAUAAUACAACUUUCAACAACGGAUCUCUUGGCUCUCGCAUCGAUGAAGAACGCAGCGAAAUGCGAUAAGUAAUGUGAAUUGCAGAAUUCAGUGAAUCAUCGAAUCUUUGAACGCACCUUGCGCCCCUUGGUAUUCCGAGGGGCAUGCCUGUUUGAGUGUCAUUAAAUUCUCAAACUCACUUUGGUUUUUUCCAAUUGUGAUGUUUGGAUUGUUGGGGGCUGCUGGCCUUGACAGGUCGGCUCCUCUUAAAUGCAUUAGCAGGACUUCUCAUUGCCUCUGCGCAUGAUGUGAUAAUUAUCACUCAUCAAUAGCACGCAUGAAUAGAGUCCAGCUCUCUAAUCGUCCGCAAGGACAAUUUGACAAUUUGACCUC